rnacentral:rRNA from 1 species
AGAGUUUGAUCCUGGCUCAGAAUCAACGCUGGCGGCGUGCCUCAGACAUGCAAGUCGAACGCGAAAGUUCCCUUCGGGGGGCGAGUAGAGUGGCGCACGGGUGAGUAACACGUAGGUAAUCUACCUUCGGAUGGGGAAUAACAACCGGAAACGGUUGCUAAUACCGCAUAAUGCAGCGGCACCUAAUGGUGACAGUUGUUAAAGCGGGGGAUCGUAAGACCUCGCGUCUGGAGAGGAGCCUGCGGCGGAUUAGCUAGUUGGUAAGGUAACGGCUUACCAAGGCUAUGAUCCGUAGCCGGCCUGGGAGGGCGGUCGGCCACACUGACACUGACAUACGGGUCAGACUCCUACGGGAGGCAGCAGUCGGGAAUUUUGGGCAAUGGGCGAAAGCCUGACCCAGCAACGCCGCGUGAAGGAUGAAAUCCUUCGGGAUGUAAACUUCGCAAGAACGGGAAGAAUAAGCCGGUAUUAACACCACCGGUGAUGACGGUACUGUUUGUAAGCUCCGGCUAACUCCGUGCCAGCCGCCGCGGUAAUAC